rnacentral:rRNA from 1 species
AUAGAGACUCAGAGCUGCAUAUCAAUAAGCGGAGGAAAAGAAACUAACAAGGAUUCCCUUAGUAACGGCGAGUGAAGCGGGAAGAGCUCAAAUUUGAAAUCUUCAAGGUUUUACCUUGACGAAUUGUAGUUUAAAGAAGUGUUUUCUGUUGAAGUUUCGGUAAAAGUUCUUUGGAAUAGGACAUCAUAGAGGGUGAGAAUCCCGUAUUUGACCAUUAUUUCCAGCUUUGUGAUACACUUUCAAAGAGUCGGAUUGUCUGGGAAUGCAGUCCAAAAUGGGUGGUAAAUUUCAUCUAAAGCUAAAUAUUGGCGAGAGACCGAUAGCGAACAAGUACCGUGAGGGAAAGAUGAAAAGAACUUUGAAAAGAGAGUUAAACAGUACGUGAAAUUGUCAAAAGGGAAGCGUUUGACACCAGUGUUGUUUUUCCGAAAAUCAAUUACGAAUGGCUUGAUUUUGUGUUGUAUUGACCUUAUCAGCUUUCUGCACUUUUUUCGAGUCUUUCUUAAUGCACUUUUCGGUUAACAAGUCAACAUCAAUUUCUUUUGUUGUAAAAGAGUAUUCGGAAGGUGGCUUUCUUUUCGGAGAAAGUGUUUAUAGCCUUUGGCCUCUGCAAUCGGAGAGAUUGAGGUCUGCAGCGUAGAUCCUUCGGGGUUAGAUACACUUGUGCUAAGUUGUAGCUUUUCAUAGACAACUUGUUGACUAUGUUUAGUCAUGCGGCUUACUCGCUUAUGCUAUUUUACCUACGCUUAGGAUGUUGACGAUCAGCUGAGCGCG